ACUUAAAGGAAUUGGCGGGGGAGCACUACAACGGGUGGAGCCUGCGGUUUAAUUGGAUUCAACGCCGGGAAGCUUACCGGGAUCGACAGCGGUAUGAAGGCCAGGCUGAAGACCUUGCCGGAUUAGCUGAGAGGUGGUGCAUGGCCGUCGUCAGUUCGUACUGUGAAGCAUCCUGUUAAGUCAGGCAACGAGCGAGACCCACGCCCACAGUUGCCAGCGUACUCUCUGGAGUGACGGGUACACUGUGGGGACCGCCGCUGCUAAAGCGGAGGAAGGAAUGGGCAACGGUAGGUCAGUAUGCCCCGAAUGUCCCGGGCUACACGCGGGCUACAAUGGUUGGUACAAUGGGUAUCUACCCCGAAAGGGGAUGGAAAUCUCCUAAAGCCAAUCUUAGUUCGG
rnacentral:rRNA from 1 species